CUGGUCCUACGGGGGGCAGCAGCGGGGGAUAUUGCACAAUGGGGGAAACCCUGAUGCAGCGACGCCGCGUGAGUGAAGAAGUAUUUCGGUACGUAAAGCUCUAUCAGCAGGGAAGAAUAAUGACGGUACCUGACUAAGAAGCCCCGGCUAACUACGUGCCAGCAGCCGCGGUAAUACAUAGGGGGCAAGCGUUAUCCGGAUUUACUGGGUGUAAAGGGAGCGUAGACGGCUGUGCAAGUCUGAAGUGAAAUGCCGGGGCCCAACCC
rnacentral:rRNA from 1 species